UACAGAGGUCUCAAGCGUUGUUCGGAUUCAUUGGGCGUAAAGGGUGCGUAGGCGGCGCGGUAAGUCGGGUGUGAAAUCUUGGAGCUUAACUCCGAAACUGCAUUCGAUACUGCCGUGCUUGAGUCUGGGAGAGGUGAGUGGAACUCCGAGUGUAGAGGUGAAAUUCGUAGAUAUUCGGAAGAACACCAGUGGCGAAGGCGGCUCACUGGCCCGGUACUGACGCUGAGGUGCGAAAGCGUGGGGAGCAAACAGG
rnacentral:rRNA from 1 species